UAUGAGAACUUGCUUUUUCUCUCUCUGUUCUCCUCCAUGUGUGGACACAGCAAGAUGACCAUCUGCAAUUCAGAAAAGAUUUGCUGACUUCUGCCCUAGGAUACUGUCAUGGUCUGCAUGUUUGAAACUGGGUCACCACUACAUCUGGGCUCACCACUACAUCUGGAAAAAGGAACAUGGAAAAGGCACUCUCAUUGGUGCCAGACCUAGAAACAACACAUGUCACUUCUGUUCCUUUUAACCAGAAGGAAACUUUAGUCAUUGGCAAUGCAACACCAAGGGAACCUGUGAAAUACAAUUGAGUCAACAGUUCCACUCAGGCUAUAAGCCUGUAUUAUGAAAGAAGAGGAAGGUGCUUUGCUGGAUGAUUCUUGCACAGGAGUGGAAAAACUAUGACCCAUCGCCAGUUUUUGUAUGGACUGCGAGCUAAAGGGUAAUCAUCUGUGGCAAUGGUACUGAAGAAAAUCCUUUGUUUUUGUAUAUUCAAAAAUGUGUCUCAUUUUCAAACAAUGUGAUGCAUGCUUGUAUUUGGAUCAUCUAAUUGAAUUUCUACAGCAACCCCACAUAGUUGGAAAUAUCCCCAUUUUAAUAAUGAGAAACUGAAGUUGAAAGAAGUUAAUUAGGAGAACCUGACAAAGCAUUAUAUGAGAACUUGCCAAAAUAGUAAUAACAACAGUGGCAUCAGCAGCAGCAACAACAACAAUAUCUUCAGCCUGCACUUCUUGGUUUCUGGAUAUGGAAACAAAAGACACCCUGAAGCACCAUUAAUCUUUUCUCAGUAAAAUAAGUAGAGGUCAUGGCUGUGGUUAUACUGUAACACGAAAAAUAACAUUAGUUCAAAUAUUGCAUCUUGGUCUAAUAAAAAAAUUGACUGAA
rnacentral:lncRNA from 1 species